rnacentral:rRNA from 1 species
UACGUAGGGGGCAAGCGUUAUCCGGAUUUACUGGGUGUAAAGGGAGCGUAGGCGGCUUAGUAAGUCAGAAGUGAAAGCCCGCAGCUCAACUGCGGGACUGCAUUGGAAACUGGCGCGCUUGAGUGCCGGAGAGGCAAGCGGAAUUCCUAGUGUAGCGGUGAAAUGCGUAGAUAUUAGGAGGAACACCAGUGGCGAAGGCGGCUUGCUGGACGGUAACUGACGCUGAGGCUCGAAAGCGUGGGGAGCAAACAGG